ensembl:lncRNA
CAAGCACAUAGGCACGCUGGAAGCCUGGCUGAGAGCUCCUUGAGGGCAGGGACCUUGUCUCAUUCAACAGUGUAGCCCUAGGCACAUCUGCUGCAGUCAGGCACCUGCGAUGACCACACUCUGAGCAGCCUCAUCUGCCACUAUGGGCUCCUCCCUUCAGAGCAGGCCUGCUUUCAGCAGAAGGUCAGGUCGGGCGCACUCCUGGAAGCAGCCCCAGCCAAAGACGGACGAUGGACGGGAGUGGGAGGAUGUAGUCCAGCUUCCUGCCCCUCCAGCAUGGCUUGACGUGAGCCCGAAGCCCCAGCGGCACAUGGCAGGAACCUGCUCAGCAGAGGGUCUCAAGACAUCUGACUACCGCAGAGGUGUUGCUAAGAACAAGGGGGAUGAAAGCUGGCUAGCCAAGCAGAGUCUCUGAGAGCUGUCCGAGGUGCUGG